rnacentral:rRNA from 1 species
GACUCUCGGCAAUGGAUAUCUCGGCUCUUGCAUCGAUGAAGAACGUAGUGAAAUGCGAUACUUGGUGUGAAUUGCAGAAUCUCGUGAACCAUUGAGUCUUUGAACGCAAGUUGUGCCCGAGGCUUUGUGGCCUAGGGCACGCCUGCUUGGGCGUCAUG